rnacentral:pre_miRNA from 1 species
UUGAAUGUGAAUUGAUUUAUGUUUGGAUACAUUGACUUAGAAGUGAUUCUUAAAAAUUCAUGUUGUUUGGAUAG